AACGUAGGAGACAAACGUUAUCCGGAGUUACUGGGCGUAAAGGGCGUGCAGGCGGUCUGUUAAGUCUGGCGUGAAAGCCCUCGGCUCAACCGAGGAAUUGCGCCCUAAACUGCCGUGCUUGAGGAACCUAGAGGUGAGCAGAACAGAUGGUGGAGCGGUGAAAUGCGUUGAUAUCAUCUGGAAUACCGGAGGCGAAGGCGGCUCACUGGGGGUUUUCUGACGCUGAGGAACGAAAGCCAGGGGAGCGAACGGG
rnacentral:rRNA from 1 species